rnacentral:rRNA from 1 species
GACCAAGGAGUUUAUUGUGUACGCAAGUCAUUGGAUAAUUAAAAUCCAAAGGCGAAAUGAAAGUAAAGAGUUUUUUUAAGUUUUUAAUAAUUUUAUUAAUCUCUUGGAAAAACUCAAGGGAAGAUGGAACACUAAUUUUAAUAAUUGAUAAUAUUUCUUUUAAUAUUAUUUGGUUAUUUUAAUAUAGGUUCCCGCAUUCCCAGGGCGCUUGUUUCUCGUUUUACGAGUCUAUGCGCACCUAGAGCGUACACGAUGAUACCCGAAAGAUGGUGAACUAUGCCUGGCCAGGACGAAGCCAGGGGAAACCCUGGUGGAGGUCCGCAGCGAUUCUGACGUGCAAAUCGAUCGUCAGAGCUGGGUAUAGGGGCGAAAGACCAAUCGAACCAUCUAGUAGCUGGUUCCCUCUGAAGUUUCCCUCAGGAUAGCUUGCACUCAAUUGAGACGAGUCUCAUCAGGUAGAGCGAAUGAUUAGAGGCAUUGGGGUCGAAACGACCUCAACCUAUUCUCAAACUCCAAAUAGAUGAGAUCCCCGGCUUUCUUAAAAUUGAAGCCGUGGGAUUCGGAUCAGAGUGCCAAGUGGGCCAAUUUUGGUAAGCAGAAACUGGCG